UCACGCGCACCUGGUCAGCAGCCCUGCGCCUCCCGCUACCCGGUACCCUGCCCAGCAUCACUCCCCGCACCACCUGGCCUGCCGCUUGCUGCCCCCGCUGCAGGUGACCACCCCCAGCAGCAGCGUCAAGAGCUACACCGACAGCGAGAAGCCGGUGUCCAAGUCCGACAACAAGAUCAAGUACGGCAAGUACGACCUGAUCAAGCCCUGGACCCUGCAGGAGCUGUCGGUGCACUUUGAGAACAACAAGCCCUUCAAGCAUGUGAGUGUUUGUGCGUGUGUGUGUGUGUGUGUGUGUCUGUAGGAAGCAAAACGGAAGAGAGCGCCAAGCGCCAAACGUUGCCUGUGUCUGAAUGUGUGUGUUUGCGUGCGUGUGCAUGCUUGUGAUGGAAACCAAGCGCGCGUGCGCCUGUUCCUGUGUUCAUGGGCAGCAAGCAUAUGUGUGGAGCCCAGUGAAAGGGAAGUUAAGACCUACCACACCUCACCACACACCUCACACCCCUCCCACACCUCCGCACAGAUUGUGACGUACGUCAAGGAGAUCGAGGUGUCGCACUGGGGCAACAUCUACGUGGAGGAGAAGUACGAGAUCAAGAACGCGGGCGCGCGCCACUCGGGCUCCUUUUCGCGCCUCAAGUACGCGCACUCCUACAACGGCAAGGCCAACUCCUUCCGGGUGAGUGAGGGUGUGUGUGUGAGUGUGAUGGUGCGUUAAAGCGCAUUCGGCGAUGUCAGAUGUAUCUUCACACACGACCACUGCGCUCGCAUGCGUCGCUCCAGCCCCCCCCCCCCCUGCCCACCUCCAUCUCUCACUGCCCCACCUUCCAGGACGUGCGCGCCGUGCUGCCCCCCUCGGCCCGCUCGCUGUACUACGUGGACCUCAUCGGCAACAUCAGCUCCUCCAACACCCGCAAGACCGUGCAGGCGGUGAGCGAGGCAGGCGGCGGCUGGGAAGCGGGGAGUGGAUAAUUGUUUCAGGAAGGGCGGGUGGUGUAGGAGCUUGGGACAAGAGAUAUUGGACAAUGUUUAUGGUCUUUUGCCGGGCCUCAUGACCACCCGCACACUCGUGAACCCCCUCUCAAUCCCUCACACACGCGCGCCCAAUUACUCACAUACACGCCUCUGCCAACCCACCCACCCCCAGACGGUUGUGGACAUCGACCUGCGCUACCCGCUCAUGGGCGGCUGGAAGGUGGACUUCACCCUGGGUAAGUCUAUGUGCGGGUGUGUUUGUGUUUGUGGGGCAGGGGGAGCGCCGCGGCCGCUGCGGGAGUGAGUGGGGCGCGGUAAUGCGGCUGGGGCGGGGAUGUUUGGGGGUAAGAGCGUUUGGGCUGCAGUGGAGCUAUCCUGAGGGGGCAUGGUUGCAUGGCCCCGGUACGCAACCGCCGUCGCCACACACGUGCCUCAUAGCCGCUCCGCCCUCUCCUCUCCUCAACUAUGCCCUCCCCCCUCCCUUCCCCUCACCUCCCCCCCUAUCUCAGGCUACUCUGUGCCUCUGACCGGCUUCCUGUUCCACACCAAGGGCGGCCGCCGCAAGCUCACCAUGGACCUGGCCUCGCCGCUGGAGGACGUGUUCGUGGAGGACAUGGUGGUGCGGGUGAGGCAAGGGGAGGGGGCGGGGGGGGGGGGCCAGGGGGCGGGGUUGAGGGGCGGGGGAGGUGAGAAGUUGCAGGUGACGGAGCCAUGGGAGAGAAGGCGGAGGCGGAGGUAUGCGAAGGCAGGCAGAGGCAUUGUCCUGCGCCGUCCCUUCCCGGGUCGUGCUCUCUACGCAACGCGCGCCCCUGCCCCCCCCCUACGCCUUCACUUCUUAAAUGAUCAUGAAUGUCAAAACCCCCCCUGCCCAGGUGGUCCUGCCCGAGGGCUCCUCCAAGCUCCAGGCGGUGCUGCCCUACGACAUGGACCAGAGCACCGACGUCAAGUGCGUGGGGUGCGAGCAGGGGCGAGCGGGAAGGGGGGGAGCGGGCCGCGUGUGUGUAGGGGGGGGAGGAGGGGGUUGUAGAUACCAGCCCAAACUGAACCGAACCCAAUGCAUUGGGGGGCCAUUGAUGAAGGCCGGCGGCUCCAGUCCGAGAUCAGCCGGGACCCAGCGGUGGAAACAGUGUCGGUUUCAAUGCACGCCCCCCGGAGAGGCAGCUGUGUAGGCAGAGGCACCUACAGCCUCCGCCUACACAGCUGCCUCCCCGGCACACACCUUCCACGCGCUAAAGUGCACCUCCCCAGGCGCCCAACCUCCUGUCAAUCAUCGCCCUCGCCUAACCUAGUACCGUUUGCACGACACCUGCCCUAUUCCCCCCCCCCCCGCGCGCGCAGGUACACCUACCUGGACACCACCGGCCGCCCGGUGCUGGUGCUUCACCGCCGCAACGUGGCCUCGCCCGAGCACAGCGCCAAGUUCAGUGUGGAGUACUCGUUCGCGGCCACCUCCAUCCUGCGCGAGCCGCUGCUGCUGGUGAGAGAGGCAGAGCGCAGGGGGGCGAGGGGCGGGAGGGGGGGAGCGAGGGACGAGGGACACGGGGUGUGCCAGAGCGCGCACGGCACUGCCCAGCACGGCACCUUGCGUGUGUGUGACCUCGUGGGGUCUUGUGAACCCUGUGCGCAAUCACGUUGAAGCCUCUCACCGUGCUGCACAUUGCAACCCCCCCCCUCUUCCUCUCCCUCUCCCUCUCCCCCGCUUUCCUCCACCGUGUAGGUCUCUGUGUUCUUCUGCCUGUUCGCGGCCGUGAUCGCCUACAACCGCCUGGAGCUGGUGAUCACGCGCGACGACAAGUGGGCGGCGGCGCGCGACAGGGAGGUGCUGGCAACCUACAUGGAGCAGAUCCAGGCGGCGCUGGAGGGUGAGGCGGGGGCGGAGGUGGAAGGGGCACAGGGAGGGAGGGAGGGAGGGCUGGGGAUGGGCUGAGCCCAGCGGGAAUGUCCCUGUCCCAGUGUCACCCAGAGAAGGCCCAGGGGCCGGCCCAUGCGAUGACUGGGACCUUCAGCUUGGUGAUUAGGCGCGACCGCCGGGAUGGCGCUGGCCGACCAUGUGUGCACCUGCUUGCACCCCUGCUUUCCCCACCCCGCGCCCCGCGUUCCGCUUUUCCUUCCGAACUUGGCAAUCCCGCUGCCCCACUGCCCCCGCCCCCAGACGAGGCCUCCCUCAUGGCCGGCUUCGAGGCCGCCACCCGGGCGGUGCGCGACACCGAGGACGUGGACGCGGCUCAGCGCAAGCGGGCGGCGGUGGAGAAGGGGUGCAAGGACCUGGAGGACAAGGUGGGGGCAAGCAAGGGGCAGGGACAGCGAGAGGCUGAGGGGUAGGCCACACAAGAUGUGCCGUAUGCGGAAUCGGUCGUGCCUGACUGCGUUUAUAUGUACCGGCUCCACACCAUCACUUCGCCCCCACCACCCGCGCGUGGCUGCUGCUUUCCAGUGCUUCACCCCCACGCUGACCCCCGCGUUCACUCGGUUGGCUUGCUGUGGUAUUCUGGAAUGAACUACCCCACCUCGCACCCCAACCCAAUCAACCCCACCCAACCCAACACUGCGUGCACAGGUGAAGCCGCUGCUGGCUGCCGUGGAGUCGCGCUCCGCCCGUGUCGCGGGCCAGGUGCGCGAGGUGCUGGACAAGUCCAAGGCGCUGCAGGCUCGCUACGGCCGGCAGCUGGCGGAGCGGGUGGAGCUGGUCAAGAAGGGCAGCACCAUGGGGGUGAGGAGCAAGGGGGGGUCCACCAUUGCGAAUAAGGAACUGGAGACACGAGGGUGUCAGGACAAGCGGGAGGAAGGGAGGAAAUGUGGUGCACAGGGUCGGUAUUCGCGACGGGGGCGCCCCAGGCAAUUACAGCUGUGCGGUGCUGCAUUAGGGCUCGCCCUGUCACCCACCACAGCACACCUGCUCCGCUGCCCCCCCGCCCCCAUGCCAACCCUCCCUGCACUGCUCCCCCCCAGGAGAUCAGCCGCAAGCUGGCUCCGGGCCAGGAGGCUUUGGAGGCUGCCCGCCGCGAGCUCAAGAACGCUAUCGACACCGUGUUCGGCGCGUACUGAGCGACCUGCUAGGGGGCCUGUGUGGCAUGAUGAUGGAGGUGGUGUUGUUAUGGAGGUGUGGUGAGAUGAGGAGGUGGCCUUGAAAAGCGGACACGUAGGGACAGGCAGUGACAGGCCGGCCCGCUGCAUACACAGGUGGGAGCCGGAGGAGGUGUGAGGUAUGGUCCAAGCCCCAACGACAUUGUGCUCUUGCCUUCUCCGAUACGCAUUCAAAUAGUUCAUCUGCGUUUAAUAUGGUAUGAUCCUGGUCCCAAGGGUUUAGAGGUACGGGCACGGGUAGGGGGGUGUUGCGUGUGCCUGUGUUGCUCGUCGUGUUUGCAGGGCAGACGGAACCGUGGCAGACGCUGUGCACCCAUUCCAGAGCAUCUUGGUUACAUGUGCCCCUGCCCAACCGGGGUGAGGUAUGACGCCACCACUGCACCCGCCCUUUGGACCUGUGCUGCCGCCCAAAUCAGAGCGCCACUUCCCUGCCCGCCGACCGCCACUACCGCCCGGUAACGUACACUCCGUGACUCCGUUCGCACUAGCUAGCGCGUCCAGAUUCCCCUUCUGCCUAAAGCCUACCGUAUGUCUAAAGUCUUCAGCAGUAUUCUCCUCGCAUCGACCCCGCUCGCGCUCUCCAACCGUCCUAGGGAGCGUCGGACGUCCUCCAGCUCUGCUUAGCCACGUGCAGACGCAUUGUGUUUGAUAAAACAAGUGAUAUGAGUACGAAUAGUCAGUCACAGAAUGAGGGCGCCUAUAACUCUCCCUCGUCGGAGUUCACCGGCCCGACGUUACCGGCCCCGGGCGCGCCUGAAUCCGUGGAAGGUGAGCGGGGACAGGCGCGGGGGCGCCCUCAGCAUCGGCAGCGAGCAGGCACGCCCUCCGCACGCGGACUCAGCUGAGUAAGCCCCCCCCCUUAUGGGUGCGCCGCACCCCCGGGGCACGCUAACAGUCGUGGACGCCCUCGCGGCCUUCAACGUGCUGCUCGCCCUCCUACAAGCGUACUUCCCGUCGACGAAGGUUGUCGCGAUGAUUCUCCUCGGAGUUGCAGUGACAGGUGAAGCCACCCCAGGAGGGCAGGAUGGGCAGCACAACGUCACUGCUACUCCGAUUAGGAUCAUCGCGACAACCUUCGUCGACGGGAAGCACGCUUGAAGGAGGGCGAGCAGCACGUUGAAGGCCGCGAGGGUGUCCACGACUGUGAAAAGGGGAGGAUGCCGCUAAGCCAGCUUCUCGUGCGCUGGGCCUGAGGUGAAGCCGCAGAAUGACAGCGCCAGGUGCAGAAACCACGUGACAUCCUCUGCGCAGGUUGUGCGAAAUACGUUGGGCAUCGACUGUUCAGCUGCAUCGAAAGUGUCCCCGGUACUCACCCUUGCUGAACCAUCUCUGCUCUUCCCGCAGCGCCUGGAGCUCGGCGCGUAUUUCGGCCCUGAGUGCUGCCAGCUCCUCCUGGAACUGCUGCGGCUGCUGCGGCUGCUGCGGUACCGCGUCCAUUUCAGCAGUCGGAAUUAAGCAAAGUCUUUCGAGGAGUUAGUGCGUUUCCGGUUUGGUCAGCCGCAGACACUUGAUCCCACAAUUCCAGCGACUUUUGCGACCGGCUCUCCACCGACCGCUUGGAUGCUUGCGCCCGGUCGCUGCCCCAGCUACUUCCGCGGUGAAAUAACAACGGUGAGCACUCUCAACCACUGCGAGGACAGCCCUAGCAACCGCACUGCGUAAGAAGUACAGCAUCGAUUUGCUGCAUGUUGAUUUUGGCGCAAAUGGGGGGUGCAAGCAGUUUGUUUCUCUCAGACGCGAGCUAGCGCCCAAGCGCGCGAUAUGGGGGCGAGGAGCCACUAUGUAGCUGUAACGAUUGCAUGAGUGGCGAAUUUUACUUCGAGGGUCUAGGGUGCGAGCGGAGUGGGAUUACCCCCCGAGGGGCACGCCAUGCGCUCAGGCCCCAUGCAACAGAAAUUCGCCGGGCACCAACCCACGCACAGAUAAUUCAUAGGACUACACCAUAGCCAUCAGAGACCGGCCGGGAACAAGCCCCGCAAGCGGGGCAGCAUGGGCGCGACACCACCCUGCCGCGCCAACUCACCCCAAACACGCCCCAACCACUUGUGCGACACAAGGGCUACCAUACAGUAGCGCGCGACACCUAAUCGCGUGCGCCGGAGUGUGCGAGCAAACAUUGUACGGAGGAGCUCGUUUGGGCCCUAGGACGCAGGGCCUGGGCUGGCAUUUGGUGCAUUCAAUAGAGCAUAGAAAACCGAGGCCACAUAUGUGCUCGGGUGCGCAAAGGUCGGCGGAAUUGUGGGAUCAAGUGACGUGGAAAUGGAUCUGGGGGACUGCGGGGUUUUGGGGUGUGUUGGGUUGGUGGCGUGAAGGGUGUGAUUUGUGAGGAAUUUAUCGAUGCAUGCCAAGUUGCACGCCUUUCCCCUGUGUUUCCUACAUGCCCCUGAACCCUCCCUUUGCUGGCUGCAGGCGAAGCGACAAGUGGUACCGCUGGUACCACCCACGGGGGCCUUGUGCCCAAGCCGGGNNNNNNNNNNNNNNNNNNNNNNNNNNNNNNNNNNNNNNNNNNNNNNNNNNNNNNNNNNNNNNNNNNNNNNNNNNNNNNNNNNNNNNNNNNNNNNNNNNNNUGGUACUAUACACGUGGCGGUCAUCGACAUUGCUUUGUGCCGGCGCGCAGCACCCAGGAUGUGCGGCGAUCGCUGAAAUGCAGUUGUGGGGUCCACACUCAUAUGGCACCCACGCCCCACACAGCACUGAUGCAGGGCUCCUGCAGCCGUCACGCCAUGGGAAUCAGCAUAUGGGCAGUGGCCUGUGCAUACUUCUCUGUGGCCUGGCGGGGCAUCUGGCCAGGGCGUUUGACUAGCGGCAUGGGGCCUGCACGCCGGUAGGGGGGCGCAGGCCCAAAAUGAUGCAAGGAAGCUGAUGUGUUGCGUGAGGUGCGCAGCGGUUCCUGAUGGACGUGGGUGCUUUCAUGCGUAUGUAUAUUGGCUAUGUGUGUUGAUCUUUGCACCAGGGUGGUGUCGCCGCGCAGCGGAGCAUUGGUGUUGGUGCACGGGGCGUGAACAUUGGGGCCCGCAGUUGGGAUCGCGCCGGCACGGUCGCGGGCACCGCUGAAGAUAUGUUGGCGCGACCGGUCGCUUAUGGUGCACGCUAAUACCCGCAUACUGUGUGUAAGCACCGAUUGCAAUUAUAAGUUGCGCAUGUAGAUAUCGGUCUUCUCCCGACAUGCGCUCUGAUGACGGUUCCAUUUCCGCCAACUUAGGGUGAGAGUUAAGAGCCGGAGCCCUGUUGCCACCUGCAAAAUGCCUUAGCAACAUGUGGCAACUAUCUGCCCGAAGCAAGUUGCAAGCCAGCCCAGUUCAGGUUGCCACAUGCCAUGCUGGGUAUUCCCAGCGCGCUAGCGCACCUGCUUGGGCAGCUCGCUAUGGCUGCCGUCGACAGUUGACCCUGGUAUGCCAUCGCUAGAGUCGCAGCCCGCUCCGGCCAACCUCGCUCCUCCGCAACCGACACACGAACCCGACGUCACUUGAUCCCACAAUUCCAGCGACUUUUGCGACCGGCUCUCCACCGACCGCUUGGAUGCUUGCGCCCGGUCGCUGCCCCAGCUACUUCCGCGGUGAAAUAACAACGGUGAGCACUCUCAACCACUGCGAGGACAGCCCUAGCAACCGCACUGCGUAAGAAGUACAGCAUCGAUUUGCUGCAUGUUGAUUUUGGCGCAAAUGGGGGGUGCAAGCAGUUUGUUUCUCUCAGACGCGAGCUAGCGCCCAAGCGCGCGAUAUGGGGGCGAGGAGCCACUAUGUAGCUGUAACGAUUGCAUGAGUGGCGAAUUUUACUUCGAGGGUCUAGGGUGCGAGCGGAGUGGGAUUACCCCCCGAGGGGCACGCCAUGCGCUCAGGCCCCAUGCAACAGAAAUUCGCCGGGCACCAACCCACGCACAGAUAAUUCAUAGGACUACACCAUAGCCAUCAGAGACCGGCCGGGAACAAGCCCCGCAAGCGGGGCAGCAUGGGCGCGACACCACCCUGCCGCGCCAACUCACCCCAAACACGCCCCAACCACUUGUGCGACACAAGGGCUACCAUACAGUAGCGCGCGACACCUAAUCGCGUGCGCCGGAGUGUGCGAGCAAACAUUGUACGGAGGAGCUCGUUUGGGCCCUAGGACGCAGGGCCUGGGCUGGCAUUUGGUGCAUUCAAUAGAGCAUAGAAAACCGAGGCCACAUAUGUGCUCGGGUGCGCAAAGGUCGGCGGAAUUGUGGGAUCAAGUGACGUGGAAAUGGAUCUGGGGGACUGCGGGGUUUUGGGGUGUGUUGGGUUGGUGGCGUGAAGGGUGUGAUUUGUGAGGAAUUUAUCGAUGCAUGCCAAGUUGCACGCCUUUCCCCUGUGUUUCCUACAUGCCCCUGAACCCUCCCUUUGCUGGCUGCAGGCGAAGCGACAAGUGGUACCGCUGGUACCACCCACGGGGGCCUUGUGCCCAAGCCGUGGUGGCGCAUGGUAACUAUACACGUGGCGGUCAUCGACAUUGCUUUGUGCCGGCGCGCAGCACCCAGGAUGUGCGGCGAUCGCUGAAAUGCAGUUGUGGGGUCCACACUCAUAUGGCACCCACGCCCCACACAGCACUGAUGCAGGGCUCCUGCAGCCGUCACGCCAUGGGAAUCAGCAUAUGGGCAGUGGCCUGUGCAUACUUCUCUGUGGCCUGGCGGGGCAUCUGGCCAGGGCGUUUGACUAGCGGCAUGGGGCCUGCACGCCGGUAGGGGGGCGCAGGCCCAAAAUGAUGCAAGGAAGCUGAUGUGUUGCGUGAGGUGCGCAGCGGUUCCUGAUGGACGUGGGUGCUUUCAUGCGUAUGUAUAUUGGCUAUGUGUGUUGAUCUUUGCACCAGGGUGGUGUCGCCGCGCAGCGGAGCAUUGGUGUUGGUGCACGGGGCGUGAACAUUGGGGCCCGCAGUUGGGAUCGCGCCGGCACGGUCGCGGGCACCGCUGAAGAUAUGUUGGCGCGACCGGUCGCUUAUGGUGCACGCUAAUACCCGCAUACUGUGUGUAAGCACCGAUUGCAAUUAUAAGUUGCGCAUGUAGAUAUCGGUCUUCUCCCGACAUGCGCUCUGAUGACGGUUCCAUUUCCGCCAACUUAGGGUGAGAGUUAAGAGCCGGAGCCCUGUUGCCACCUGCAAAAUGCCUUAGCAACAUGUGGCAACUAUCUGCCCGAAGCAAGUUGCAAGCCAGCCCAGUUCAGGUUGCCACAUGCCAUGCUGGGUAUUCCCAGCGCGCUAGCGCACCUGCUUGGGCAGCUCGCUAUGGCUGCCGUCGACAGUUGACCCUGGUAUGCCAUCGCUAGAGUCGCAGCCCGCUCCGGCCAACCUCGCUCCUCCGCAACCGACACACGAACCCGACGUCUGACGUGGAAAUGGAUCUGGGGGACUGCGGGGUUUUGGGGUGUGUUGGGUUGGUGGCGUGAAGGGUGUGAUUUGUGAGGAAUUUAUCGAUGCAUGCCAAGUUGCACGCCUUUCCCCUGUGUUUCCUACAUGCCCCUGAACCCUCCCUUUGCUGGCUGCAG
rnacentral:lncRNA from 1 species